rnacentral:rRNA from 1 species
AGCAGCCGCGGUAAUUCCAGCUCCAAUAGCGUAUAUUAAAGUUGUUGCAGUUAAAAAGCUCGUAGUUGAAUUUCGGGGUUCUACCGUUGGUCGGGCUUUGUCUGUACUGGCGUGUAGAAUUUCUACCUUCUGGGGAACUAUCAUGUUAUUAAUUUAGCGCGGUAGGAAACCAGGACCUUUACCUUGAAAAAUUAGAGUGUUCAAAGCAGGCUUAAUGUCUGAAUACAUUAGCAUGGAAUAAUAAAAUAGGACGGUGGUCCUGUUUUGUUGGUUUCUGAAUCACCGUAAUGAUUAAUAGGGAUAGUUGGGGGCAUUAGUAUUCAAUUGUCAGAGGUGAAAUUCUUGGAUUUAUUGAAGACUAACUACUGCGAAAGCAUUUGCCAAGGAUGUUUUCAUUAAUCAAGAACGAAAGUUAGGGGAUCGAAGACGAUCAGAUACCGUCGUAGUCUUAACCAUAAACUAUGCCGACUAGGGAUCGGACGAUGUUAACUUUUCUUGACUCGUUCGGCGCCUUACGGGA